CGAGCGAGUCUGCCUUGAAGAUCGGAGUGCUUGCACUCUGUGAAACAAGAUACAGGCUAGCGGCGGACGGGUGAGUAACACGUGGGUAACCUGCCCAAGAGAUCGGGAUAACACCUGGAAACAGAUGCUAAUACCGGAUAAUAACAGAUGAUGCCUAUCAACUGUUUAAAAGAUGGUUCUGCUAUCACUCUUGGAUGGACCUGCGGUGCAUUAGCUAGUUGGUAGGGUAACGGCCUACCAAGGCGAUGAUGCAUAGCCGAGUUGAGAGACUGAUCGGCCACAUUGGGACUGAGACACGGCCCAAACUCCUACGGGAGGCAGCAGUAGGGAAUCUUCCACAAUGGACGCAAGUCUGAUGGAGCAACGCCGCGUGAGUGAAGAAGGGUUUCGGCUCGUAAAGCUCUGUUGUUGGUGAAGAAGGACAGGGGUAGUAACUGACCUUUGUUUGACGGUAAUCAAUUAGAAAGUCACGGCUAACUACGUGCCAGCAGCCGCGGUAAUACGUAGGUGGCAAGCGUUGUCCGGAUUUAUUGGGCGUAAAGCGAGUGCAGGCGGUUCGAUAAGUCUGAUGUGAAAGCCUUCGGCUCAACCGGAGAAUUGCAUCAGAAACUGUCGAGCUUGAGUACAGAAGAGGAGAGUGGAACUCCAUGUGUAGCGGUGAAAUGCGUAGAUAUAUGGAAGAACACCGGUGGCGAAGGCGGCUCUCUGGUCUGUUACUGACGCUGAGGCUCGAAAGCAUGGGUAGCGAACAGGAUUAGAUACCCUGGUAGUCCAUGCCG
rnacentral:rRNA from 1 species